AGUAAAUAUCUGUUAUAACAAAUUCUCGGGCUGAGCAUGGACCCAGGACCAAGAACUUUUCUUUCCUUGCGAAAAUUUAAUCUUUAUGGUUCAUGACUUCACGAGGGCCGUUCAGCCGAUUAAGGCCCAUUUUAAAGUUUAGCCCAUCAGGGCCCACUCAAAUCUGUAACCCAUAAUAACAUGUUCAUUGUAUAAUGGGCUUAGAAUAUUCAUACCCGGCCUUAAUUAUAUGUCUCUCAACAGCCUCGAUCUUCGCGCCCAAAACUCAAUCAAAAAUCUCCCUCUUCACAGACUCAGCAGGCUCCGUGUGUAUAUACAUACAUGAUACAUACAAAUAUUCAAUAUAACAGUAUUGGUUCCAGCGCUCGAAAUCGCUUCUGGUGUAGGUUAUUGGAUUAUGUAACCAUGUUGGCAGAAUGUGCAAUUCUAUUUUUAUUUAAAGGACGGAUCAAUAGGGAGUAAAAGAUGUUCCGUAAUCUUUGUUGUUUGGAGUAUAUGUUGCUGUCGGAAAAAUGUUUCACAUAUAUAGGGAAUUAAUCUGCCGAUGCAUAGAGGUGGAAUAAUCUAAAUUUUAAGAGGACAUGGUGAAUAUACUGCUAAAGAUUGAAUGGCAAAAGGUGAUAUUAAGUUGUUGAUGUACACAUGUGAAAUUUGUAUUGAAGGGCAUUAGAUACUUCAACACUAGCAGCUAGAAGAAGAAGAAUAUGUUGAAAAGGAAGAAAAGCCAGAAGCUUAUGGAAGAAGGGUAAGGUGCAUUUAAUAGUCGUAAAUAUCAAGUAAAUAGAAUGAAUGGUGUUUUUCCUAGUAAAGCCAUAUCUGAUUCUUAUAUUCCUUUGUCAUUAUUCCUGUCUUUUUAUAUCAUACUGUAGUUUUCAACAUUCGAAACGCCGAAAUAUUCUAUGACAACUGUACUUGUUAAUUUAACACUAAUAUUACUAAAAAGGUGGUAUUUUGAUGCCGAGUAAAGUAUUGGUCUUAUAAUUAGCUCUUGCUUUAACCUAAUUAAGUAUAUCUUAGGGUCUGUAGGAGAAAAUGAUUAAAGGAGGAAACCCAUCAAUGGGAUUCUGAUUUAUGUCCAUGAAAGUAAAUGUUUUUCUUCUUUAAUGUUUAGUUUUGCAGAGCACUAAAAAUCCAAAGUAUGGGGCCAGAUGUAGGCAGUAUAUUUUCUUUCUUUUGGAGAGUAGGAGGCUACUUGAAACUCUGGGUGCGCAUUAUAUAUAUACACAUGAUAUGAUGUGCCAUCACAAUAAUAUUUUCUCUUAUGCUAAUCCUGCUUAUCUCCCAACUUGUUUAUUUGCAUCCUAACAACUUUCUUCAUCUACUCUUUUGCUUUUCCGCAAUUUGUUUACUUGUUUAUUUCUUCUCUUUUUUCUAUAUUCCAACUUGCUGUGUAAUCUUUUUUCUGGAUGCUCGUGUUGUCGAGUCCCUCAUCUCCCCCACCCCCCAAUAGAUAUAUUAUGCAGAACAAAUAAAUUUAUUCGACCUGGUAAUAUUCCAGUCAGGUGAUGAAUCAAGCUGUAGGGGCAGUAUCACACUUAUAGAUUUUAUUAAUUGUGCUCUACUAGUACUUACGUAAGAAAUUAAUAUAUUCGUUCGACACCAUUUAUUUGGCCAUGAGCACAGGGAUACCUAGUUGCAUGCAUGAUCAUUAAACUUUAAAGUAUAGUGGUAAUUGAUUUAAAUCCAAGCUCAUUUAAACGGUAUGGCUUAGCUCAGAUGCAGCAAGAACUUAAACACAAGUCUGAUACAGUUUUUGUACUUGAUAAAGUUUUACUCUCUGUUUUUCCCACUAAGCCCCCCACUAGAUUUAAAUUACAUUUCUGGGUCCGUCCUUGUUAGCAUGUCCAAUCACAUUCUAUGAAGAUGGUACAGUGCACACUACCCUCAUAGUAGUAGGUCUGUUGCAUGUUAGGAUAUGCACGGUGCGGUUUGACGCGAUUUUGACACAAAAGCGAACCGUAACCAGUAACGUGUAAUUUCUAAAAUUAGGAACCAAAACUGAAUCAAACAUCUUCGGUGAAUAACUACGGUUUUGAUUUAAAACGGUGCGAAUUUUGGUUUUAAAAGUUAGAACUUAGAACCACUCGCAUCAUAUUUAGAACUGUUCUUAUAAUUAGCGCUACCUCGGCAAAAAGAGCGAACCACCUGAAGCCCUGACCCAUGGCUAAUAGCAGAAGAAUGCAUUAGAAACACACAUAUAUGCAUAUGAAUGCAGAACAACUAAACAGGCUUCAUGAAAUCCAUGUAUUUACCCUUGUUUGCCAACACAUCAACAUUUGAUACUUUUCGUAAUUAUUUUUCGACCAUAGGAAGUCAAAAGUGUUGAGAACUUGAGAGAGCCACAAGAAGUGGAAGAAAAAUCUAUUGCUAAGAAAGCUACGUACAAACUUUUGACCAUUGAUUAAAAAAAAGUUUUUGAUUCUGAGUUACUUUAUUACCCGUUUUUCUAGUUAAAUCUAUGACAAUAAUAAUUAUUCUUCUGGUUUUCGCCAGUAUUUAUCCAUCAAUAUUCAAUAAUAAUAGCAUUACAAGAUUGAGAUUCCUUUCACCUUUACUGAUUUACCUUGUUUAUGUGCCAUGUCAAGCAAUUGGAUGGAGAGAAACGUUUCUUGAUUCAGUUUGUUGAUUAUGAUAUAUAUUGGUAUUUGAUUCCACUGGAUGUAUAGAUUGUGCUUAGAUGCAACGUUACAUAAAUUGUUUAGUAGUAGCCUACUUUUUUUAUAACAAGAAGUCGAUGUAAGUGAUGACCUUUUUCAUGAAAUCUUACACUAUACAACGUAACUGAUAACCUUCUCUCGGUAACAAAAUGUUGAUGACUUUGGAGAUCUGGAAUGAGGGAUCACAACAGUGAAAUUUGGUCAUUUGAUUUAGAAUUUAUAUUGCUUUCAAUGGCCUUAUAUAAAUAUUUGCAGAUAAUGGUGUAAUAUACAAUGGGUGAAAUUGCCGCCCCCAUUAUUUACCUCUGGAGUCUUAAGUCUCAACUGAGUGAGGAAGUGACAAGAGUUGUCAAUUUUUUGUUGUUUUAAUAGAGUUGGUUAGUUGACACGUUGUAACCACUAGCUCAGGUGUUUACUUUGUCUUUAUUUGGUGUUGAUAUAUAAUUAGCACGAGUGAGUGAUUACAAAGUCAUGGAAAUCGGGAAUUAGAACUAAUGGGGUUGUGGAUAUUGGAAAUUAGAAUUAAUUGGUUGACCUACUGAUUUAGGAUUUAUCGGAAAUUGUUUUGAUAAAUUGAGAAUUUAUAGUCAAAUCAGCGUGUAAUUGGGAUUUAUUUUUUUAAUAAGCCGGGGAUUUUUAGAAUAUUGUGAUUGUUAUAAUGCAUUUCUUGUUAUUAUCUUACUUUUUCAUUUUUGAGUUGGAAAAUUCUUGUAGGCUAAAAGUUCUGCGGGCAUUUUGAGAUGUGAACUAACUACAAAUUAUUUUCACAGAAAUGUAAUGUUUUGCGGUAUUUGGUAAAAGAAUAUAUGUUAUUCUAAAUUAUACUAGGUUGUUUAAGGGUACUUAUUGGACCGAAGCCUGUACUUGUUUGUAUAACUAAUUCUUCUUUUGAAAUUUUGUUAAAUUUGUGUGUCUUACUGAUUUUAGUGAGGUGUUUUUCUGGCAAGCAUUUGUUUUCGAUUUUCCUUGUAAAUGGAUCAACAAAAAUUAUGGGAAUAAAGAAACAUAGAGCUAAAAGAUUAGAAUAAAGUGUGCAUUCUGAAAAGAGUAACAAAAUUUCAACCCCAAGAAUUUUGGAAUAUAUAAAGCUAUAUAGGUAGGUAUAUAUGUGUAGUGAAACAUAUUGUUUGUGGUUAUUAAUAUAGA